ensembl:lncRNA
CAGUAGGGGGAGACUGUGCAGUAUGACGAGCCAUCAGAACAGACCGAGUCUAAGCAACACGAAUAAGAGCCUGCGUGAGAGGGCCUCUUCUGAUAAGAAGAUAUUUCUCUGAUCCUUUUUGCCCCUUGCAUUAAAACACUCCACAUGGAUUCUGGAGCAAAAUCCACAUUAGCAGCGUGUUAAGUUUAGUAUGUUAAAACAUUAGCAUGUAGCUGUCAGGGGCGCCUUAAGAUAACCAAAGGCCCCUGGGCUACAGCAUUACAGUAGGCUCCCUGACCACAUAUUUUUUGUAACCUUCCUAAAAAUUAUUUGUUAUUUUUUUAUUUUAUUUUAUUUUAUUUAUUUUUUGUCUUCUUAAUAUGCCAGUUAACAUGCACAACACUGUUCUAUGUAAAAUGUGAAUAUAAGCAAAUAUGCAAAUUCACUCUUUGCCACAAGGUGAAACAGCAGAAUUAUAUAGCCGUCACAUAAAGUAAACAUUAUCUUAUUACAGGCAUUAUAUGGAGAUAAUAUGGAAGGAAAAUGCCAUCAAAACUUUCCUGGCUGAAAUGUCACCGUAGCCACCAGAUCCAGUCUGUUUCCAAGUCAGAGGGUCACUGCAGUCACCCGGAUCCAGUAUGUAUCCAGCCCAGAUGGUGGAUCAGCACCUAGAAAGGACCUCUACAGC